rnacentral:pre_miRNA from 15 species
CUAUUGCACUACUGUUACUGCUAGUGUACACUAUUAGAGCCAGUAGUGAUACUGUUGGCUCUAAUAGUGUAUACUAGCAGUAACAGUAGUGCAAUAGU